rnacentral:rRNA from 1 species
AUACGAAGGGGGCUAGCGUUGUUCGGAAUUACUGGGCGUAAAGCGCGCGUAGGUGGAUUGGUCAGUUAGGGGUGAAAUCCCAGGGCUUAACCCUGGAACUGCCUCUAAUACUGCCAGUCUUGAGUUCGGGAGAGGUGAGUGGAAUUCCUAGUGUAGAGGUGAAAUUCGUAGAUAUUAGGAAGAACACCAGUGGCGAAGGCGGCGCACUGGCCCGAUACUGACGCUGAGGCGCGAAAGCGUGGGGAGCAAACAGGAUUAGAAACCCUAGUAGUCC